rnacentral:snRNA from 14 species
GUACUCUGGUUCCUCUUCAGUUUGUGUAAAUUUUUCAUCUUUUACUAAAGAUUUCCAUGGAAAGCAUCCACUCUGAACCAAUGUUUUGAGACUUCAAAAUAGAAAGGAAGG